rnacentral:rRNA from 1 species
AGAGUUUGAUCAUGGCUCAGAAUCAACGCUGGCGGCGUGCCUCAGACAUGCAAGUCGAACGAUUAAACUUCCCUUCGGGGAAGAUAUAAAGUGGCGUACGGGUGAGUAACACGUAAGUAAUCUACCUUCGAGUGGGGAAUAACAGUCGGAAACGACUGCUAAUACCGCAUAAUGCAGCGGCAUCAUAUGAUGACAGUUGUUAAAGCAUUUAUGCGCUUGAAGAGGAGCUUGCGGCAGAUUAGCUAGUUGGUAGGGUAAUGGCUUACCAAGGCAACGAUCUGUAUCCGGUCUAAGAGGACGGUCGGACACACUGACACUGAAUAACGGGUCAGACUCCUACGGGAGGCAGCAGUCGGGAAUUUUGGGCAAUGGGCGAAAGCCUGACCCAGCAACGCCGCGUGAAGGAUGAAGUCUUUCGGGAUGUAAACUUCGUAAAAAUAGGAAGAAUAAAUGACGGUACUAUUUGUAAGGUCCGGCUAACUACGUGCCAGCAGCCGCGGUAAUACGUAGGGACCAAGCGUUGUUCGGAUUUACUGGGCGUAAAGGGCGCGUAGGCGGCGUGUUAAGUCAGCUGUGAAAUCUCCAAGCUUAACUUGGAACGGUCAGCUGAUACUGAUGUGCUAGAGUGCAGAAGGGGCAAUCGGAAUUCUUGGUGUAGCGGUGAAAUGCGUAGAUAUCAAGAGGAACACCUGAGGUGAAGACGGGUUGCUGGGCUGACACUGACGCUGAGGCGCGAAAGCUAGGGUAGCAAACGGGAUUAGAUACCCCAGUAGUCC